GACGAACGCUGGCGGCGUGCCUAAUACAUGCAAGUAGAACGCACAGUUUAUACCGUAGCUUGCUACACCAUAGACUGUGAGUUGCGAACGGGUGAGUAACGCGUAGGUAACCUGCCUGGUAGCGGGGGAUAACUAUUGGAAACGAUAGCUAAUACCGCAUAAUAUUAAUUAUUGCAUGAUAAUUAAUUGAAAGGUGCAAUUGCACCACUACCAGAUGGACCUGCGUUGUAUUAGCUAGUAGGUGAGGUAACGGCUCACCUAGGCGACGAUACAUAGCCGACCUGAUAGGGUGAUCGGCCACACUGGGACUGUGACACGGCCCAGACUCCUACGGGAGGCAGCAGUAGGGAAUCUUCGGCAAUGGACGAAAGUCUGACCGAGCAACGCCGCGUGAGUGAAGAAGGUUUUCGGAUCGUAAAGCUCUGUUGUAAGAGAAGAACGGGUGUGAGAGUGGAAAGUUCACACUGUGACGGUAUCUUACCAGAAAGGGACGGCUAACUACGUG
rnacentral:rRNA from 1 species